rnacentral:lncRNA from 1 species
CCUGUCUAAAUAGGGAUCAUUUGUUAAAUGAGAUUACAAGCAUUUAUCUGGAAAACAGGAGACAGAGGCACCUGCUUUAUGUAAUUGAUAUCCUGGGGAAUCAUAUUGUACAAUAAUCAAGACAAAUCUUCAUUUCCAAUUCUAUUAUGUGAAAAAAACCCUCCUUUUUCUGCCUAUACAAAACAAAGCCCACAUCCACAUGGAAUAAGCUCCAGACCAUGUUUUCUAUUAUGCUUGAAUAUAUGGGACAUGCAUUGCAAUCCUAUGCUUGCCACACUGCUGCAGUAUACUUGUUUUGCAGAUCUCUCUAGCAGGCAAGUCAAAGCUGUGACUAACCAGACCCCUGGAUACAUACUUUAAUUUCUGGCCUUCAUUUUUUACAAUGAAUUUGAAUUGUUCAUUGCCUGAAUAUUUUUCUGAUUUGUGAGAAGCUCCAUGCUCUAUAUUUGGAUGCUGCCUGCAAUACAUCAUUAGUCUUUAAGACGCUUUACCCUCUCAAAUUAAAGCUUAAAAACCUCCCAGGAAGGAAAGGAGGCCAGAUUGGAGGGGGAGGAGGUGAGAGGAAGGAAGUGGGUGGAGAAAACCACUAUAUUCCCAAGAUGCAAGGAAAAUGGAAAAAUAGAAGAAAAAAUAUAUUAAAUCAAUGUAAACUAAGAGAAUCACAGUGUACACUCUGUGGUGAGCCUGAAGGUGAGUGUGUUUCUAUAUUCUUAAUCAUUUUCAAAGCUGAUAGUGCACAGGCUUGACUCAAGUGAUCUGUUUAGUCUGCUAGUUCAUUUGUACAGGUAACAGUAGAUUGAACAUGGUAUUAGAAAUGAUGCUAACACAAGAAACACUCACACUUUGCUGUGCUAGAUACCAAAAUGAAUCAAAUUAAACUGAGUAAAGCACAGCACACGCUCCAGGCAGAAGGAAAUUAUCUUAAAGGACAAAUAUUCCAUUACAGUAAAAAUGGAAAUAUUUGCUUUUUGUUCAGUUUUUGUGUGUUUGCCAGUAUAAUUUGGGAUACGAAACACUGAUGAGGCACUUGAAGACAUCAUUUGGAAAAAAAGGACAUUGGAUAAUGUAAAUGAAGAUGAGUUAAUCUGUAAAGGGUCACAUUUUCAUGUUUAGUGUAACUCAGAGUACUAAGAGAAGCUCUUUUUUAACAGGUGAAGUGAAUAAAUACUGCUUUUGAAACA